rnacentral:rRNA from 1 species
UGCCAGCAGCCGCGGUACUCCGGAGUGUGCGAGCGUUAAUCGUAAUUACUGGGCGUAAAGCGCGCGUAGGUGGUAAGGUCAGUCGGAUGUGAAAGCCCCGGGCUUAACCUGGGAACUGCAUUCGAUACUGCCUCGCUAGAGUAUGGUAGAGGGAAGUGGAAUUCCGGGUGUAGCGGUGAAAUGCGUAGAUAUCCGGAGGAACACCAGUGGCGAAGGCGACUUCCUGGACCAAUACUGACGCUGAGGUGCGAAAGCGUGGGGAGCAAACAGGAUUAGAUA